rnacentral:lncRNA from 1 species
AGUACUAAAUCAGGAUCAGGACAACCAUUUGAACUGAGUAAACUAACAUAUCUACAUCCACAUCUGUGGGUCUCCUUUGCUUCUGGGCUACUCACUGGCAAAAGUCCUGAGCGGCUCUCACAAUAUCUGCUUUUCCAUCUUCCGGCAAUAGCACCUUCACUGCCAAAUGGCAAUUUAAAACUUGAUCAUCUUUGUCAUUACUAUUUGCAAACUCUGGUGAGCAUUUUGAACAAUCUAGGCCCAGAAGUUCUUGCUGUUGUUUUAAAAUUCCAUCCAUCAAUCUGGAAUUAUUUCUUUUGAAAAUACCUUGGUGGUCGUAGACGCUAAUGUAGGAGAUGCCCACGGCCAUACACCACACCACGAGGCUCUCGAUGUCCGAGAAGCUGGGUUCCUGCUCCACCUCGGUGAUCACCAGGCCCAUGUGCACAGGCAGCUUCUCCAGGGAAGGGCCGUCCGCGCGCCAGCGCACCUGGUGGUGGGCUGCGGGCAGGCACGACCCCCGGCGCGGGUGCGGGUGGUGAUGGCGGUUCCUGCAGACGCCUGGGACUUGCGGAGCGUGAAGCCGAGCGGCGCUAGGACCGCGGCAGAGGCGGCGCGCCGGCACAGUCGCCAGAUCCAGUUCCAAGUGCCGAACCGAACGCGGAGCCAGGAGAUGCAGUCUCACUCUGUGGCCCAGGCUGGAGUGCAGUGGCGUGAUCUUGGCUCACUGCAACCUCCAUCUCCUGAGUUCAAGCAAUUCUCCUGUCUCAGCCUCCUAAAUAGUUGGAAUUACAGGCAAGCACCACCACGCUCAGCUACAGGAAUUUAGCCAAUUCAGAGGAAAUCUUCCCCAUAAUUAUGGAACUUUCUUACAGAUUUUACCAAGUCUGGUCAACCCAAUAAGAAAAAGACUGAAAUAACAACAACAACUUCAACAAAUAAAAAAAAACAGUUAAGCUAAAUAAACAGAUGAUUGCAGAAUUUAUGUGAUUACUGGGUACUCUAAUGGUAAGGAGAAAUUAAGACCAGCUAGUUGUUAAUCUUAACUUUUAGUCAUUAAGGAGAAUUUCCAAGACAAAACUGCAAUCCAGCUGCUUACCUAGGAAUACGGCUUAGGCUGAAAACUUCUAUCGUCUUAGAAAUGGGAAUAAACCUCACACUCACCGUCCCUGUUGGAAGCAAGCUGAAACUCCAAAAAAAAGAAAAAGACUAAUACAAAUGGAAUUACAUUAUAAUUAUAACUUUUGUUUAUUAAUAUGUACUAUUGAGAUAAAACAAUUCACAAAAUGGGGAAAAGAGAAUAUAUACAAACACAUACAUAUCAUAUAUAUGUAACAGCUACACAGCAACAAGAAAAAAAUAGCCUAAGUGAAACAAAUUUUUUCUGUCCCAAGGACUUGAACAAGCACCAUACUUUAGAGGAUGCAAAAUGAGAGGUUAAACGUAUGGUCCCCAGUUUGUUCGUUCACAAUCUUCUGAUCAGGAAGUAGGUUCUGUGGCCUUGAAUAUAUUGUGGCAGUGACUGUUUUGACCCAUCGAGUGUGGUGAAAUGAUGAUAUGAGAUUUCUGAGGCCAGAUCAUAAGAGGCCAUGGAGCGCCAUCUCGUUUUCAAGAGGCCCCCUGUUGGUAUGCUCCAUACUAGAAUCAAGUCUUCAUGCUGUGAGAGGCCAAACUACAUGGCCAGCCCAAGUGUAGGUGCUCCAAUCAAGUGCCAGGUGAGCCCAGACUUGCACUGAUCCCAGCCCAGGAGCCAGACAUACGAGUGAGUAAGGAGUCUCCAGAUGAUUCCAGCCUUCAGCCCCCAGUGCUGGGUAGCAGAAACACACUCUCAUGGCUGAGCCCUAAUUUCUUGGGCCACAAAACUGGUAUAAGAAACUGACUGUUGCUUAAUGCCCCAGGGUGGCCUGUUAUGCAUCAAUAGUAACUAGAACAUGGCCAAAUAUCAAUAAGAUAAUCAACAUUUAAAAUCACCAGAUAUAUAAACAUUAAAACCAGUUAGAUGUUUUUGUCUAAGUUAUUUUUACUUGGUAGCAAGUCAUCCCAAAGUUAACAUAUUAAUAUAACAACAAUUAUUUAUUAUUCAUGACUCUGUGACUUGACUGGGCCAUGGUUCUUCUGCUUCCGGUGACAUUGACUAUUGCUAAGACAGCUGGAAUUUCCAAAAUGACCUCACUCAUGUGUCUAGCAAGUAGUGCUCAUGGUUGGCUGGAAGCUUAGCUUGGACUAUGACCAGAAGUUUUGGUUCUCCCCCAAAGACCUCUCCACGUGGAUUACUGGGCUCCUCUCAGUGUGGAAGCUGAUUUCCAACAAGGAGCAUUCAAAGAUUAGGAGUUCCCAGUGUUCAUAAGUGGUUGUAAAUCCUUCUCUUGCAUCAUACUUGCUAAGCACCCACUGGCCAAAUCUAAUCACAUGGCCAAGACCAGAGUCAAUGUGGGUAGGGAUACACAUGGCAAAAUACCAGGAGGCAUGCUUCAUUAAGGAUCAAUAGUAUAGCAAGUUAAUACAACUUCAUGCACUCACUAUUAGAGCUAAUCAAAAAUAGGAGAAAUUACCAGAUCUGAGCAAGGAUAUAGAACUCUGGAAUUCUCAUUUACAUUGUAAGGAGGGGAAAUUUUUGCUGUACAAUCACUGUGAAUAACCAUUUUACAGUAUCUAGUAAAGGUAAAUGAAUGCAUAUCCUAUGACCCUGCAACAAAACCCCACACAUCUGUGCACCAAAAUAGAUGUAUGGAAAUGUUCGGCUGGGCGCGGUGGCUCACACCUGUAAUCUCGGCACUUUGGGAGGCCGAGGCGGGCGGAUCAUGAGGUCAGGAGAUGGAGACCAUCCUGGCUAACAUGGUGAAACCCCGUCUCUACUAAAAAUACAAAAAAAAUUAGCCGAGUGUGGUGGCGGGCGCCUGUAGUCCCAGCUACUUGGGAGGCUGAGGCAGGAGAAUGGCAUGAACCCAGAAGGCGGAGCUUGCAGUGAGCUGAGAUCCCGCCACUGCGCUUCAGUCUGGGCGACAGAGUGAGACUCCGUCUC